AUGGCGGGUGGGGGAACCUGAGUGCGGAAAUAAUAGGUGUCCAGCUACCAAUCAGCAUUGAACUGCUCAGCUUCUGGUAGCAGAGUCAGACUGUUGGAACCAGAAGCCUCUGAGACCUGGACUGAAGCCACAGGCCUACACAAGAAUCAGCAAAGGUAACCCACUGACUUAUAUGGAAACUGGAAAAGCUUCCUGCACAUUUCAGGGAAAAAGAACCAAUAAGUUUUCUGAGGUCAUGCCCUAAUCCCACAAAGCCAUUAAUAUCAAGCAAAAGAAGAAGCAAGUAGUGUGAUGUAGUGGGUAGAAAGCUGGCAUUGGAGCCCAGAAGAACUGAGUUCAAGAUCUACCUGUGACAUAUACUGGAUGUGGGACCCUGAGCAAGUCACUUAACCACUUAGUGCCCUAAGCAACUCCCUUAAGACAAUAAGUUGGGAAGAAGGUGUUGACUCUACAUAAGGAGAAGGAGUUUUUUCAUCCAGGUAUUCCCUAUACCAGUGAA